UUUGUGAUGCAACAAGGUCUACAUGUCAUCAUGCAACAAGCCCUCACGUAACAGGGAAUCCAGGAGGACCAGUACCCCCAGUGCUGUGGGAUGGAAGUCAGGCAUCUGCUGAAAGAAGAAAACUGUUUGCAAAAGUGACAUGAAGAAUCUGCUUGGGUUAGUUCAAAACUGGACAAAGGUCAAGAAAUCUAGAGAGAAGCUCAAAUUUGCAACGAAAACCUGAAAGAUUGUAACUGAUUAAUAGGAGCAUUUCCGCAGAAGAGGAACAAACACUGCGUCUGAUCAGGGCUUCCACUUUACAGAAAACACCAAAGACCUGGCAAUAGACAGAAGGAAUAGUCAAGUACAGCACUGACCCUUUUAGAAAUACUGUUAUAUUUCAAUUAAAGAGGAAGGUUCUCACUG